UGACGAGCGGCACUAUGCUGCGAAGUGAUUGACGCCAUGCUUCCAAGAAAAGCUCGCAAUGUCAUAAGUAAAAAAUGCCUGUACCAUAACCGACACAGGUGGGUAGGUAGAGUAUACUAAGGGGCGCGAGAUAACUCUCUCUAAGGAACUCGGCAAAAUGACUCCGUAACUUCGGGAGAAGGAGUGCCUUAUUUAUAAGGUUGCAAUAACAAGAUCCAAGCAACUGUUUAUCAAAAACACAGGUCUCCGCUAAGUCGUAAGACGAUGUAUGGGGGCUGAUGCCUGCCCAGUGCCAGAAGGUUAAAGAAGUUGGUUAGUGUAUGCGAAGCUGAUGACUGAAGCCCUGGUGAACGGCGGCCGUAACAAUAACGGUCCUAAGGUAGCGAAAUUCCUUGUCGGGUAAGUUCCGACCCGCACGAAAGGCGUAAUGAUUUGGAUACUGUCUCGGAGAGAGGCUCGGUGAAAUAGACUUGUCUGUGAAGAUGCGGACUACCUGCACCAGGACAGAAAGACCCUAUGAAGCUUUACUGUAACUUGAAAUUGGAAUUGGACUUUGCUUGCGCAGUAUAGGUGGGAAGCGUUGAAGAUAUUCUUGCGGGAGUAUUGGAGCUAUCAGUGAGAUACCACUCUUGUAAUGUUAGAUUUCUAACUUUGAACCAUAAUCUGGUCAAAGAACAGUUUCAGGUGGGCAGUUUGACUGGGGCGGUCGCCUCCCAAAUGGUAACGGAGGCGUACAAAGGUUUCCUCUGAACGGAUAGAAAUCGUAUCUAGAGUGUAAAGGCAUAAGGAAGCUUGACUGUGAGACCUACAAGUCGAGCAGGGACGAAAGUCGGUCUUAGUGAUCUGACGGUACUGAGUGGAAAGGCCGUCACUCAACGGAUAAAAGUUACUCUAGGAUAACAGGCUGAUCUCCCCCAAGAGUUCACAUCGACGGGGAGGUUUGGCACCUCGAUGUCGGCUCAUCGCAUCCUGGGGCGGUAGUACGUCCCAAGGGUUGGGCUGUUCGCCCAUGAAAGCGGUACGCGAGCUGGGUUCAGAACGUCGUGAGACAGUUCGGUCCAUAUCCGGUGUAGGCGCUAGAAUAUUGAGAGGAGCCUUCUUUAGUACGAGAGGACCGAGAAGGACACACCGCUGGUGUACCAGUUAUCGUGCCAACGGUAAACGCUGGGUAGCUAUGUGUGGAGUGGAUAACCGCUGAAAGCAUCUAAGUGGGAAGCCCACCUCAAGAUGAGUAUUCUCAUC
rnacentral:rRNA from 1 species